GGUCCGUUGGCCCAAUGGUAAGGCGUCUGACUACGAUUCCUUCAAAUCAUAUCAGGAGAUUCUGGGUUCGAUCCCCAGGCGGACCU
rfam:Sphaerulina musiva SO2202 unplaced genomic scaffold SEPMTscaffold_1, whole genome shotgun sequence.